rnacentral:rRNA from 1 species
AGCGAACGCUGGCGGCAGGCCUAACACAUGCAAGUCGAACGGAUCCUUCGGGAUUAGUGGCGGACGGGUGAGUAACACGUGGGAACGUGCCUUUUGGUUCGGAACAACUCAGGGAAACUUGAGCUAAUACCGGAUAAGCCCUUCGGGGAAGGAUUAUCGCCAUUAGAGCGGCCCGCGUCUGAUUAGCUAGUUGGUGAGGUAAAGGCUCACCAAGGCUACGAUCAGUAGCUGGUCUGAGAGGAUGAUCAGCCACAUUGGGACUGAGACACGGCCCAAACUCCUACGGGAGGCAGCAGUGGGGAAGUCUUGCGCAAUGGGCGAAAGCCUGACGCAGCCAUGCCGCGUGAAUGAUGAAGGUCUUAGGAUUGUAAAAUUCUUUCAGCAGGGACGAUAAUGACGG